UGCCUUCUGGUUGCCUGAACUACAAUAAAAAUAAAAUUGCCUUUGAGCAAGACUCAUCCCCACCUACCUCAAGAUAAUAAUAUUCCAGAGAUACAAUAGCAAGAGCAGAUUGUUAGAACAGAUUUACAGUAUUUUUUAGAUUAAUUCCAUUUGAAAAAUAUAAUAUUACCUGUUUCUCUAGGCUUACCUUUUUGCUCCUUUCACAUUAGAAACGUCAUUUCCUUGCUUUUCUGGAGAUCUGGCUGCAUAAAAUCCAGCACCAUGAACUAGACCUAGUGUGGCACUUCUCUCUUCCACAUAAUCUCUAUUGAUUAUCCUAAAGCAAGACUUGAAGAAGUACAGAUAGGCUGUUGGGUUUGAAGACCUCUCUCAGUGAACAAAGGGAAAAAGAAUUCCUGCAGUGUGCAUUUAGUACAGUGGUGGGGUACAGAGUUUCAGAUCACCUGCAGCCACUUUAGAGGUGGGUAUAAUCAGAAAUCUGAGACGGAAGACUGAAGUCUGUGGAAAGGCAACGGCACAGAUGGAAUAAAAACUUGAGCAGUCCGAAUUUUUAGACA
rnacentral:lncRNA from 1 species